UUUGGGGCGGGGCCCUGGGGGCGGGGCCUCCGAGCUAGUGCUCCCGCGGGCCGGGGAGUCUGCAAAAAAGGACGUGGGAGGAGGACUGAAGAUGAGGUGCCCUGUUAACUCUUUCUGCCCAGCCUAGUGGCUGGCAGGAGCUCAGCAAUUGGGCUGAGGCUUAGUUCUAAGGAGCCUUUGUAAGGAGGGCAGAGGGAGACGAAUAGACCUAAGCAGAAGACUGGAGAGACCUGGAGGAAUUUCCUUCCAGCCCCACUCAGGAAGAGCUGCUACUGAGAGAAGGGAGGGGAGUUGGCAGAGUUUGGGUGGUCAGGAAUUUGGAAAAAAAGAGAAAAAAGGGAGAGCUUGGGGAGCUGUUGUAAUAGUGUGGAACUUUGAGGAAGAGAGAUCUGGGAGGAUUCUGAAAAGAGGUCUUGCCAUGCGCUGGGCUGCGUAAUCCCUUUGCAGUGUCCUCCAGAGAGCUUUGGUAAUAAAGCCUUUUGUUUCCUGUCA